AUGCCGAACGGAUCCCUAGAUGUCAAGAUCUGCACAAAAAUUCUGGGGCGCAGUCAUACACUCUUCCGCCGCCAUUUUAAAUCUAGCUCCAUACAACGCUCCACCGCUGCCGCCAGCCGGACUACGCGCCACCACCCUCCGACCGACCAUUCCGCCACCAUGGAGGACAUGAACGAGUACAGCAACAUAGAGGAGUUCGCAGAGGGAUCCAAAAUCAACGCGAGCAAGAAUCAGCAGGAUGACGGUAAAAUGUUUAUUGGAGGCUUGAGCUGGGAUACGAGCAAGAAAGAUCUGACAGAGUGUUUGUCUCGAUUUGGGGAAGUUGUAGACUGCACAAUCAAAACAGAUCCAGUCACCGGAAGAUCAAGAGGAUUUGGGUUUGUGCUUUUCAAAGAUGCUGCUAGUGUUGAUAAGGUUUUGGAACUGAAAGAACACAAACUGGAUGGCAAAUUGAUAGAUCCUAAAAGGAUCUAUCAAAGCCAAAGCUUUGAAAGGCAAAGAACCCCCUAAAAAGGUUUUUGUGGGUGGAUUGAGCCCAGAUACUUCUGAAGAACAAAUUAAAGAGUAUUUUGGAGCUUUUGGAGACAUUGAAAAUAUUGAACUUCCCAUGGAUACAAAAACAAAUGAGAGAAGAAGGUUUUGCUUUAUCACAUAUACAGAUGAGGAGCCAGUAAAGAAAUUGUUAGAAAGCAGAUAUCAUCAAAUUGGUUCUGGGAAGUGUGAGAUCAAAGUUGCCCAGCCCAAGGACGUGUAUAGGCAGCAACAGCAACAACAAAAAGGAGGAAGAGGUGCUGCAGCUGGAGGAAGAGGUGGUACUAGGGGUCGUGGCCAAAACUGGAACCAAGGAUUUAAUAGCUAUUAUGAUCAAGGAUAUGGAAAUUACAAUAGUGCCUAUGGUGGUGAUCAAAACUAUAGUGGCUAUGGCGGAUAUGAUUAUACUGGGUAUAACUAUGGGAACUAUGGAUAUGGACAGGGAUAUGCAGACUACAGUGGUCAACAGAGCACUUAUGGCAAGGCAUCUCGAGGUGGUGGCAAUCACCAAAAUAAUUACCAGCCAUACUAAGGAGAACGUUAGAGAAAGCAGGAGAUGCUAAAGAAAAUCUCACCUUACAGGACUACAUUGAAGAUUGGUCUUCUGUUGAUCUGAUUAUUUUGUAAAGACUUUCUAGUGUAUAAGACACAAUUGUGUCCAACUGUAUAUAGCCGCCAGUUAGCUUUCUUUGUUUUUAGUUUGUCUUUUGCUAUGUGUUAUGACUCAAUGUGGAUUUGUUUAUACAAACUUUUAUUUGUACAAUUUCAUGUUAAACCUCAAAUAAAUGCUUCCUUAUGU